GACGAACGCUGGCGGCGUGCUUAACACAUGCAAGUCGAACGGAGAGGCCCUGCUUUUGUGGGGUGCUCGAGUGGCGAACGGGUGAGUAACACGUGAGUAACCUGCCCUUGACUUUGGGAUAACUUCAGGAAACUGGGGCUAAUACCGGAUAGGAGCUCCUGCUGCAUGGUGGGGGUUGGAAAGUUUCGGCGGUUGGGGAUGGACUCGCGGCUUAUCAGCUCGUUGGUGGGGUAGUGGCUUACCAAGGCUUUGACGGGUAGCCGGCCUGAGAGGGUGACCGGCCACAUUGGGACUGAGAUACGGCCCAGACUCCUACGGGAGGCAGCAGUGGGGAAUAUUGCACAAUGGGCGGAAGCCUGAUGCAGCAACGCCGCGUGCGGGAUGACGGCCUUCGGGUUGUAAACCGCUUUCGCCUGUGACGAAGCGUGAGUGACGGUAAUGGGUAAAGAAGCACCGGCUAACUACGUG
rnacentral:rRNA from 1 species